UGGCGGUAUCUUAUUCUUCCUAGAGGAACCUGUCCCAUAAUUGACAUCCCACGUUAAGUUUACUUUACUUUAGGCUUAUAUACCGCUGUCGAAACAAUCCAUUAACAAACUUUUUCUAAAUCUAAUAUUUUCUUUAGAUGUCAAGUCAAGGUGUAGUUUAUAGUGAAAGGGAAAUGGGUUACAUUAAUUAAAAAUUAUAGGGUAGAAGUUUAGAAAAAGGAUUUAAAAGUAAUUUCUUUAAUUUAUGGAAGUUAAUGAAGCUCUAGAUG
rnacentral:rRNA from 1 species